AUACUUACCUGGCAGGGGAGAUACCAUGAUCACCAAUGGGCUUGUCCAUUGCCCUCAGAUGUGCUGACCCCUGUGAUUGCCCCAGAUGUGGGAAACUCGAAUGAAUAAUUUGUGGUAGUGGAGGACUAUGUUCACACUCUACCC
rnacentral:snRNA from 1 species